CCAUAAAUACAUAUUAAUAUAUUAAAAAUUGAAUGAUACAGAUAAUAUUCGCAUGGCCCCUGCAUAAGGAUGACAAACAAAUUCAUGAAGAGUUCCAUAUUUUA